rnacentral:rRNA from 1 species
CCUACGGGUGGCUGCAGUCGAGGAUCUUCGUCAAUGGGCGAAAGCCUGAACGAGCGAUGCCGCGUGCGUGAUGAAGGCCUUCGGGUUGUAAAACGCGAAAGAUAGAAGAAAGGCGAAAGUCGGAUUGACUAUCAGUAAGCUCGGGCUAAGUUCGUGCCAGCAGCCGCGGUAAGACGAACCGAGCGAACGUUGUUCGGAAUCACUGGGCUUAAAGGGCGCGUAGGCGGGUGAUCAAGUCCGGGGUGAAAUCCUCCAGCUCAACUGGAGAACUGCCU